rnacentral:lncRNA from 1 species
UCGAUAGAGCACAGAGGCUGUGUAGGCGAUCAACAACGAAGCGCUGAUCGCCUGCGUUGAGGCUCGACCUGCGCUUUGGUAGCAGGCGAAACACAAGCGCCACUAGAACAAGCACUUGACGAGGUGGUCGUGGAUCGUCAUGCCCAACGCUACCGAACAGAUGACGUUAUCACAGCGCUGCAGAAGUGAUGGAAGUCCCUGGGGAAUAAAUUUCGGCGCCUGGGAAGACGUUUCAGAAAGAAAAGAGCCGCGCCGUGCCAGUCGACGUUCACGACGACGUCAUCUGGCUGUUUUUCGACCAGAUGAUGCUUCUGCGCUACACAAUGGAGUGUAGACCGAUGUCCGCCAACCUUCCACCAGUGCCCCCAUCGAGUGAGAAGGGAAG